rnacentral:sRNA from 1 species
AUGCCCUGUGAUAAAGUUAUAUUAAUUUCAUCAUAGUUACCUCAAAAAAAACAAUCAAAAAGAAACUAUGAUAUAAU